UACGAAGGGGGCUAGCGUUGCUCGGAAUCACUGGGCGUAAAGGGUGCGUAGGCGGGUCUUUUAAGUCAGGGGUGAAAUCCUGGAGCUCAACUCCAGAACUGCCCCUUGAUACUGAGGAUCUUGAGUUCGGGAGAGGUGAGUGGAACUGCGAGUGUAGAGGUGAAAUUCGUAGAUAUUCGCAAGAACACCAGUGGCGAAGGCGGCUCACUGGCCCGAUACUGACGCUGAGGCACGAAAGCGUGGGGAGCAAACAGGG
rnacentral:rRNA from 1 species